rnacentral:rRNA from 1 species
GACGAACGCUGGCGGCGUGCUUAACACAUGCAAGUCGAGCGGUAAGGCCCUUUCGGGGGUACACGAGCGGCGAACGGGUGAGUAACACGUGGGUGACCUGCCCUCAGCUCUGGGAUAAGCCCGGGAAACUGGGUCUAAUACUGGAUAUGACUCCAUGACGCAUGUUGUGGGGUGGAAAGCCUUGUGCGGCUGAGGAUGGGCCCGCGGCCUAUCAGCUUGUUGGGGGGUGAUGGCCUACCAAGGCGACGACGGGUAGCCGGCCUGAGAGGGCGACCGGCCACACUGGGACUGAGACACGGCCCAGACUCCUACGGGAGGCAGCAGUAGGGAAUCUUCCGCAAUGGACGAAAGUCUGACGGAGCAACGCCGCGUGAGCGAAGAAGGCC